CCUCAUGGAUUCUGUUAAACAUGUCCAUAGAAACAUUCUUGUCCAUAAUUCCCUCAGUGGCCUCUGGCCAGACUGAGGAUCACACUGUUAUUAGGUUUAAUCAUGUUUUUAAGCAGUAAUGAUGAUUAUAAGUCACAUCAAGGACCAUGCAGGAGAAGAUCGUGCAUCAUCCGGAUGCGGAUGGAUAGUUUAAUGGCUAAUGAAGAGUUUACCUUUUUCACAGUGAUGCCUCACUUCCUCUGGAAACACAACAGGGAGCUGUAUAAAAGGUCCACCACCCCAGACCUCUCCAUUCAAACACUGGGUUCUUCAACCACACAACUCUCCUUUCAUCACUGAACAAGGCUACCUUCCACUCACAAAGAUGGGUGCUUGCAAUGGGUGCUGUGGUUAUUCAGACGAAGGACCAAACAUCAUUUGCAUCCCCUGCGGUGGUGGCAACAACGGUUGCAACUCGUGCUGUUCUCCCAUGACCUACUCUUCCCCCAUGAGCUAUGGUGGUUGCCAGUGCUAUAGCUGUGGCGGCUGUGGCGGCUGCAAUGGUGGCGGCUGCAGUGGUGGCUGCUCUAUCUACGUAAUCUCUAAUAGAAGAAGGUCCUGCUGUGGCUGUAUGUGACACUUUGGACAUUCAACUCAGCCCAUAGCAACAACAGGACCUGCCCAACGCUGGAAUAACCACAACACCAUCAACGUCCCUUUGAAGACCUGUUGGUUGACCUCCCAUUCUCCUCUUUGCUUGCUCAAAAAUAGUUAAGUUUUCCACCUGCCUCUAAUAAUAAUGCCCUUUAUCUUCUUCUCUUUGUAAGAGAUUUUUCCCCAACAAGUCCUAAUAAGCAAAGGAGGCAUGACCAUUGCAUAGACUUGGAUGGGAAGGGUUUCCUUUCACCCCGUCUUUCUGGGCUAUGGGAUUGUCUUGUACUUUGUACUGUUGCAUGGAUAAUAAUAAUAAUAAUAAAAUGAAUCCAAUAUA